rnacentral:rRNA from 1 species
GGUUUCUUGAAGAAAAGUAAGAGAUUUAACCUGCCCACUGAGAUAAUUACUUGAAGGGCCGCAGUAUUUUGACUGUGCAAAGGUAGCAUAAUCAUUAGUCUUUUAAUUAAGGGCUUGAAUGAAUGGUUGGACGAGAUCAAAACUAUCUUACAAUAAUUUUUAUUGAAAUUGAAUUUUAAGUAAAAAUGCUUAAAUGAAAUUAAGGGACGAGAAGACCCUAUAGAAUUUUAUAUAUAAAAUUUUAAUUGAGUUUAAGUUGAAUUUUAAAUUAUUAUGGAUUAUAUUUAAUUGGGGUGAUUAUAAAAUAUAAAAAACUUUUUUUUUGAGUUAAUAUUUAUUAAUAGUUAAUAUGAUCCAUGUUUAGUGAUUAAAAGAUUAAAUUACCUUAGGGAUAACAGCAUUAUUCUUUUUGAGAGUUCAUAUUGAGAAAGGAGAUUGUGACCUCGAUGUUGGAUUAAGAUAAUUUUUGGGUGUAGAUGUUCAAAGGUUAGGUCUGUUCGACCUUUAAAAUCUUACA